CCAUCAUAUUUGCCUAAAGAUGGUAUUUCAGUUUCAUGAAAUAAUUGUUUCCCAUCAUAUAAGAAUCAAUUACUUUAUUCAGUUACUAAACAUUCCAAAUGGACUAUGAAUAUGCAGAUUGGCAUUCAAGUCCCUCCGGGAUUCCUUUGCUAAAGAAGCAUCACUACCUUGCUAGCUUUAUGCAGACCAAUCAGCUCAUUCUUGGCUUAUUCUGAAGGCAACUAUCGGUUCUUUUGCAGCUGAUGAAGCAUUUUAUUGGAUCUCAAUUUGCAUGAAAAGCUUAACUGAUUCAAUCAUGGCAGUCGUGUAUCUUCCAGAUUUGUAAUGCUAUUCUGUAGUGUAAGGAUUUCUUCAUCCCUAUGAGUUGAUUGCUAAUUGCUAAGCUACUAUCUCAAGCUAAGUAUAGUUACCUCUUGCUAAUGUCAUUAUUAGUUACUUUCUAAUUGCUUUCCAGCUCACAAGAGGAUUUUUUUAAAAUCUGCGAGUUGUUCCUUUUAUCUUGCAGCUUUUGAACAGAAACUACAACCUUAACUCAACUAAUAUAUAAACAAUAUUCAGAGGAGUAAGGUCAAUGCUUUGAUUUGUGCUAGCUUUAUCCACCGAAUUCAGUAGUGUAUUACUUUUGUUAGCAUUUUUUAAAUAUAGAUGUUGAUGUGGAUCUUCAGAUAUGUUUCCGCCCUUUUUGGACAAUGCUAAACGCAAUAAGUUACUAGAUGCCUAGAAGGACUACAAACUAGAUGCGGCAUGCCUUAUUGAUCAGUAUUCACAGUAACGCAAUGUUGUGACUGCAUGUUUAGUUUUUGUUGCUAAAUUGGAUUUUUUACCUGAGUAUAUCUUUGAUCAGUAUUCAGGCCUCUAAUUCUUUGCUCAACUACUGAUUAAGUAGGGCAUGUUGAGCCAAGAAGUACUAAAAUAUAUCUUCUUUGUUUCUUCUCAUGUUUGUUCUCGUGUGGUGUUCAUGCCUAGCAUCGCAAAAAUCUGCUACACUUCCACUUACAAUGAGGUUAAGUAAUCACGGCUUGCUCUUAAUUUCCUAAUUCUUUGGUGAACUAUAUACCAUCCAAUUAUUAAUUGUAAUAAUUGUGGUUGAGGGUUUUCUAUUGUGCAAAACAUCUUGUGUGGCUCCUUCAGGGUGCUCAAUAGGAGGUUCAUGGAUUGCCCCUGCUGCCUCCUCCUCGGUGCACAUUAGGGGGAGCACGAGGUGGCGCCAAAAACUGCGCUAGACGAUAACAUAGUUUGAAAACCUUCCCCAUGAAGAGGGAUUUCUCUUAGCGUCAAGUCCAUUUGUUUGUAGCUAUAUGUGCCGACUGUGAGAACGGCUUUAUGUUGUCCAUGCUAAGAGGCCAAGGUUCUUAACCACGAUUUUCGUCUGCCGGUGCAAGGAUGUGUCCACAAAAUCCUCUUCAGUGUUCUUCGAUGUUGACUGCUGAUAUUUAGUGUUAUACCUUCCUAGAACAGUCAACCAAGUAUAGAUACGCGUUUGUGGAUUAGUCCAUGUACUUCCACAUCAUGUUAGAUUAUGUGUUGUUAGUUUGUCACUGUGUGGUUGCAAUCAAUGUACUAAGUGGCACUCUUGAUCUUACACAUCUUUAUGUUAUUUCUAAUUGACCAGUUAA